rnacentral:rRNA from 1 species
AACGAACGCUGGCGGCAUGCCUAACACAUGCAAGUCGAACGAGACCUUCGGGUCUAGUUGCGCACGUGUGCGUAACGCGUGGUAACCUGCCCUUAGGUUCCGAAUAACUCCCCGAAAGGGGUGCUAAUACCGGUUAAUCUCUUCGGACCAAAGAUGUCUCGCGGUUGGAUGGGCGCGCGUUGGUUUAGCUAGUUGGUAGUGGAAAAGCAUAGCAAGGCGACGAUCCAUAGCUGGUAUGAGACGAUGAUAAACCAGAAUGGGACUGAGACACGGCCCAGAACGCGACGCGAGGGAGCAGUGGGGAAUACUGUACGAUGGGCGAUGGCCUGACCCAGCAACGCGGCGUGAGUGAUGAAGGGCUUAGGGUUGUAAAGCUCUUUGAGACGGGGUGAUAAUGACGGUACCGGGAGAAUAAGCUCCGGCUAACUACGUG